rnacentral:rRNA from 1 species
GAGUUUGAUCAUGGCUCAGAUUGAACGCUGGCGGCAGGCUUAACACAUGCAAGUCGAGCGGUAACAGAGAUAGCUUGCUAUCUGCUGACGAGCGGCGGACGGGUGAGUAAUGCUUGGGAAUAUGCCUAAUGGUGGGGGACAACAGUUGGAAACGACUGCUAAUACCGCAUAACGUCUACGGAGUUUGAUCCUGGCUCAGGAUGAACGCUAGCGGCAGGCUUAACACAUGCAAGUCGAGGGGUAACAUUGUAGCUUGCUACAGAUGACGACCGGCGAACGGGUGCGUAACGCGUAUAGAACCUACCACAAACAGGAAGAUACCCUUUGGAAACGAAGAUUAAUACUCCAUAAUGUUAUUGACUGGCAUCAGUUAAUGAUUAAAGAUUUAUUGGUUUGUGAUGGCUAUGCGUUCUAUUAGUUAGUUGGUAAGGUAACGGCUUACCAAGACUUCGAUAGAUAGGGGCCCUGAGAGGGGGAUCCCCCACACUGGUACUGAGACACGGACCAGACUCCUACGGAAGGCAGCAGUGAGGAAUAUUGGACAAUGGAGGCAACUCUGAUCCAGCCAUGCCGCGUGAAGGAUGACUGCCCUAUGGGUUGUAAACUUCUUUUAUAGAGGAAGAAACUG